rnacentral:rRNA from 1 species
ACUCAAAUGAAUUGACGGGGGCCCGCACAAGCGGUGGAGCAUGUGGCUUAAUUCGAUGCAACGCGAAGAACCUUACCAGGGCUUGACAUGGAGCUGCAAGCUCGUGAAAGCGAGUCGCUUUCGAAGGUGCUUCACAGGUGGUGCAUGGCUGUCGUCAGCUCGUGUUGUGAAAUGUUGGGUUAAGUCCCGCAACGAGCGCAACCCUCAUGUUUUGUUGCCAGCGGUUAAAGCCGGGCACUCGAAACAAACUGCCGCUGUAAAGCGGAGGAAGGUGGGGAUGACGUCAAGUCAUCAUGCCCCUUACGCCCUGGGCUGCACACAUGCUACAAUGGCCGGUACAAAGAGCUGCAAGAGCGCAAGCUGGAGCCAAUCUCAAAAAGCCGGUCUCAGUUCGGAUUGGAGGCUGCAACUCGCCUCCAUGAAGUCGGAAUCGCUAGUAACUGCCGGUCAGCAAUACGGCAGUGAAUACGUUCCCGGGCCUUGCACACACCGCCCGU